rnacentral:tRNA from 1 species
GUUUAUUUAAUUUAAAAAAAAAUAUUGGUCUUGUAAAUCAAAAAUCAAAAAUAUUUGAAUAAACU